CGUAGGGCAAGCGUUGUCCGGAAUAAUUGGGCGUAAAGGGCGCGUAGGCGGCUCGGUAAGUCUGGAGUGAAAGUCCUGCUUUAAGGUGGGAAUUGCUUUGGAUACUGUCGGGCUUGAGUGCAGGAGAGGUUAGUGGAAUUCCCAGUGUAGCGGUGAAAUGCGUAGAGAUUGGGAGGAACACCAGUGGCGAAGGCGACUAACUGGACUGUAACUGACGCUGAGGCGCGAAAGUGUGGGGAGCAAACAGGAUU
rnacentral:rRNA from 1 species